AACGAACGCUGGCGGCAUGCCUAACACAUGCAAGUCGAACGAGACCUUCGGGUCUAGUGGCGCACGGGUGCGUAACGCGUGGGAACCUGCCCUUAGGUUCGGAAUAACUCCCCGAAAGGGGUGCUAAUACCGGAUAAUGUCUUCGGACCAAAGAUUUAUCGCCUUUGGAUGGGCCCGCGUUGGAUUAGCUAGUUGGUAGGGUAAAAGCCUACCAAGGCGACGAUCCAUAGCUGGUCUGAGAGGAUGAUCAGCCACACUGGGACUGAGACACGGCCCAGACUCCUACGGGAAGCAGCAGUGGGGAAUAUUGGACAAUGGGCGAAAGCCUGAUCCAGCAAUGCCGUGUGAGUGAUGAAGGCCUUAGGGUUGUAAAGCUCUUUUAACCGGGAUGAUAAUGACAGUACCGGGAGAAUAAGCUCCGGCUAACUCCGUG
rnacentral:rRNA from 1 species